CCGGAGCUAACGCGUUAAAUCGACCGCUGGGGAGUACGGCCGCAAGGUUAAAACUCAAAUGAAUUGACGGGGGCCCGCACAGCGGUGGAGCAUGUGGUUUAAUUCGAUGCAACGCGAAGAACCUUACCUGGUCUUGACAUCCAUAGAAUCUUUCAGAGAUGAGAGAGUGCCUUCGGGAGCUAUGAGACAGGUGCUGCAUGGCUGUCGUCAGCUCGUGUUGUGAAAUGUUGGGUUAAGUCCCGCAACGAGCGCAACCCCUAUCCUUUGUUGCCAGCACGUAAUGGUGGGAACUCAAAGGAGACUGCCGUUGAUAAAGCGGAGGAAGGUGGGGACGACGUCAAGUCAUCAUGGCCCUUACGACCAGGGCUACACACGUGCUACAAUGGCGUAUACAAAGGGAUGCGAAGGUGCGAACUGGAGCGGACCUCACAAAGUACGUCUAAGUCCGGAUUGGAGUCUGCAACUCGACUCCAUGAAGUCGGAAUCGCUAGUAAUCGUGAAUCAGAAUGUCACGGUGAAUACGUUCCCGGGCCUUGUACACACCGCCCGUCACACCAUGGGAGUGGGUUGCACCAGAAGUAGAUAGCUUAACCUUCGGGAGGGCGUUUACCACGGUGUGGUUCAUGACUGGGGUGAAGUCGUAACAAGGUAACCA
rnacentral:rRNA from 1 species